rnacentral:misc_RNA from 1 species
GAUUAAUGCAACCACAUUUCACGUAUCUAAUUUACUUCAGUACGUUUGGUUAGUAGAAAGAUUACUAUGUAACAACAUUGAGAGGCUUGGAAAACAACUCACAUUUUGAAAUUACAUUUUGCAGGAAAGUUCAAGUUCAGCAAAGCGAUGUAGUUAGCCAAAGUUCUGAAUUUAGUGUUCUAUAUAGCUUUAAUAUGGGCUAGAACUAAACUAAUUGCUUUCUAACUACUUGAAAUGAAAUGAAAUUAAAACAAAAUUUUAGAGAGAAUUUUAAAUUUAUCAUACUUAAUCAUUCAAGAACCAUCCAACUAUUGAUUGGACCAAAAGAAGGAAAAAUAAAAUCAGUGAUUGCUUAUAUAUCAGAAAAAUUCCACAAAUUAUAAUCAAAUAUUGAACAUG